rnacentral:misc_RNA from 1 species
GGUCAAUAAUACCAAGCUGCAAGCAGAAACCAGUCGUCGGCUGGCUCGGCUGCCCCGCGCGGUCGGUCAGUGCGCCGCGGCGGCGGCGGCGGCGGUGCAGCGGCGCUGGCAGAAGUUGGGGACGCGGUCCAUGCACUGGUACACCGGCGGGUCGGCGCUGAGGCUGGACUUGACGCAGUCCCUGCAGGCCGGGUGGCACCCGCGGGGCGCCGCGUCCAGGCACUGGCACCGCGGCGGCUCCGAUCUGGUGCACCCGCCGCAGCUGUCACAGCACGGCCACGCGCGCGCCGCCGCCUUCGCCCGGCUCGCCAGCUCCCCUCCUCCUCCUCCGGCUCCCUGCCCUGAAACCAGAGGUCGAUUCGGGACCCAUGAGCCAAACUGAACAACCCACGCAUGCUGAUAGCAAGGAAGGAAGGAACAAAUCUUGAACUUUCCGACCAGAACCAGUGCGGAAAAAACAGAAAAUAAAUCUUGGAUUGACUGCGGGUCGGCAAAAAAAACUCCAAGGUUGCGACUUUUUGGCAAGAGCUGAGUAGGAGUCGGGGCACUGGGGCACCUACCUUUGCCUUGGACAUGGGCGUGGUGGUAGUGGUGGUGGUGCCUGUUGCUGGACUGCGCGAGGACGGCGCCGAUAAGUGCGAGUGCGAGGAAGAACAGCGCCUGGGUUCUCAUGUCUGAUGAUUGCUUGUCUCUGCGACUGCGAGAAUUAGUUGCGAUUGAUGAGCCUCCUCUCCUCUUUCUGGCUGUUCUUGUCCCUGAUCUCCUCUCUUCGACUCUUCCUGUUGUUCUUGCUCCUGCUUGGACUGGAGUUGCUUAUCUAUCUGUACGCGGCUAAUAG